UACGUAGGGUGCAAGCGUUGUCCGGAAUUACUGGGCGUAAAGAGCUCGUAGGUGGUUUGUCGCGUCGUCUGUGAAAUCCCGGGGCUUAACUUCGGGCGUGCAGGCGAUACGGGCAUAACUUGAGUGCUGUAGGGGAGACUGGAAUUCCUGGUGUAGCGGUGAAAUGCGCAGAUAUCAGGAGGAACACCGAUGGCGAAGGCAGGUCUCUGGGCAGUUACUGACGCUGAGGAGCGAAAGCAUGGCAGCGAACAGGAUUAGA
rnacentral:rRNA from 1 species